rnacentral:antisense_RNA from 1 species
ACCUCGGGGGUUUCCUGCUUUAUGGCGAAGGACGGAGUUUUGCUCUUGUUGCCCAAGCUGGAGUGCAAUGGUGCGAUCUUCGCUUACUGCAACCUCUGCUUCCUGGGUUCAAGUGAUUCCCCUGCCUCAGCCUCCCGAGUAGCAGGGAUUACAGGAGUGAUGCUUCCCCCUCUGUGAAUGUGGCUUUGGGUAUGGCUAAUCCACACCCUGCACUCUGGCCUUCAGAAGCCCAGGGAGAGAAGCCUCCCAGAAGCAACCUUCCAGAACCUUCUCCAUCCUCCCACCGACCUCCCCAGCCCCUGUCCUCUCUUUGAAUCUCGUUGUCAAGUUCUUUCCGCAGACGCCUGGCUCCUUGAGGGGAGGUGCAGCUUUCAUCUGACCAUGCAGGCGUGCUUUGCAGUGGGUAGAGCAGUGCUGAAAGAACAUCAGUGUAUCAGCACAGCAAAUAUUCCAAAUGCCAGGCUGGAUUCCCUCCAAUUACCAGAACCUCCAGGCUUCUC